rnacentral:rRNA from 1 species
AGAACGAACGCUGGCGGCAUGCCUAACACAUGCAAGUCGAACGCCUGUAGCAAUACAGGAGUGGCGCACGGGUGAGUAACGCGUGGGAACCUACCCUGGAGUGGGGGAUAACCGAGAGAAAUUUCGGCUAAUACCGCAUACGACCUGAGGGUGAAAGAUUUAUCGCUCUAGGAGGGGCCCGCGUCGGAUUAGCUAGUUGGUGGGGUAACGGCCUACCAAGGCAACGAUCCGUAGCUGGUCUGAGAGGAUGAUCAGCCACACUGGGACUGAGACACGGCCCAGACUCCUACGGGAGGCAGCAGUGGGGAAUAUUGGACAAUGGGGGCAACCCUGAUCCAGCAAUGCCGCGUGAGUGAUGAAGGCCUUAGGGUUGUAAAGCUCUUUCGGCGGGGACGAUGAUGACGGUACCCGCAGAAGAAGCCCCGGCUAACUUCGUGCCAGCAGCCGC